rnacentral:rRNA from 1 species
UACGAAGGGGGCUAGCGUUGCUCGGAAUUACUGGGCGUAAAGGGAGCGUAGGCGGACAUUUAAGUCAGGGGUGAAAUCCCGGGGCUCAACCUCGGAAUUGCCUUUGAUACUGGGUGUCUUGAGUAUGAGAGAGGUGUGUGGAACUCCGAGUGUAGAGGUGAAAUUCGUAGAUAUUCGGAAGAACACCAGUGGCGAAGGCGACAUACUGGCUCAUUACUGACGCUGAGGUGCGAAAGCGUGGGGAGCAAACAGG